rnacentral:tRNA from 1 species
GGCUUCAUAGCUCAGUUGGUGGGACCAUCACAUCGGUAUCGCAAGGUCACAGGUUCAAAGUCUGUUGAAGUCC